CAUUAGUAUGGUUUUUUCUUCUAACUGAACCUUUUAUUCCAUUUCUAUCACAGUUUUGUUUAUUUAUCAAUACUAUUCGAUAUAUAUUCAUUGUUAAUUACUGAUCAGGAACAUUUUUAGGGUAUAACAUUGCCUCAAAUAUCAAGUCAUGGACAAUUAUUUGCGUACAAAUAAAUUAUAUAGAAGUUUCAUAAAACACUUGUGGAAGCUGAUAACACUUGCCACACUCAUACACACGCACAUAUAUAUUUCAAUACAAUGAAGGCACAACGGGUGGGAUAAUAACUAGUAGGCUGCACAAUGAGAGGUAGUGAUGCAUACCAUAUCGGUUAGUAAGGGAGGUCUUGGUUGUUAUAUAUAUGGGUUUACAAUCCUCCCCUUACAAUUUGGCUUUUAAGGUGGAGUUAGGCAGGUAAUAUCAUUUGGUAUCAAAACCUUACCUUGUCUGGUCGGUGGGCUAUGAUCUCGGUUCUCUGUACAAGGAGUACAGUCUAAGGGGGUCAGUACUGAUGCAUCCCACAUCGGUUAGC
rnacentral:misc_RNA from 1 species